GCCGGCAGCAAUAGCUCUCUGCGACUCUCACGUGGUCGCCCACUGAAGCUAAGCAGGGCUGUGUCUGGUCAGUGCCUGAAUGGGAGACCACAUGGGAAAGCUAGGUUGCUGCCACAA
rnacentral:rRNA from 1 species